rnacentral:rRNA from 1 species
GAUGAACGCUGGCGGCGUGCCUAAUACAUGCAAGUCGAGCGAACGGACGAGAAGCUUGCUUCUCUGAUGUUAGCGGCGGACGGGUGAGUAACACGUGGAUAACCUACCUAUAAGACUGGGAUAACUUCGGGAAACCGGAGCUAAUACCGGAUAAUAUUUUGAACCGCAUGGUUCAAAAGUGAAAGACGGUCUUGCUGUCACUUAUAGAUGGAUCCGCGCUGCAUUAGCUAGUUGGUAAGGUAACGGCUUACCAAGGCAACGAUGCAUAGCCGACCUGAGAGGGAGAUCGGCCACACUGGAACUGAGACACGGUCCAGACUCCUACGGGAGGCAGCAGUAGGGAAUCUUCCGCAAUGGACGAAAGCCUGACGGAGCAACGCCGCGUGAGUGAUGAAGGUCUUCGGAUCGUAAAGCUCUGUUAUUAGGAAAGAACAUAUGUGUAAGUAACUGUGCACAUCUUGACGGUACCUAAUCAGAAAGCCCCGGCUAACUACGUG